UAAGACAUGCAAGUCGAACGCGACUUAUUUUGUUAGCAAUAACAAGGUAAGCUGAGUGGCGAAAGGGUGCGUAACACGUGGGAAUUUACCAAAAAGUGGGGAAUAGCUCGUCGAAAGGCGAAUUAAUACCGCAUGUGAUCGUAAGAUCAAAGUCGGGGAUCGCAAGACCUGACGCUUUUUGAGAAGCCCGCGGCCCAUCAGCUAGUUGGCGGGGUAACGGCCCACCAAGGCUAUGACGGGUAGCUGGUCUGAGAGGACGACCAGCCACACUGGAACUGAGACACGGUCCAGACACCUACGGGUAGCAGCAGUCGAGAAUUUUUCACAAUGGACGAAAGUCUGAUGGAGCGACGCCGCGUGGAGGAUGAAGGUUUUCGGAUUGUAAACUCCUGUCACUGCAGAACAAGGGUAGGUUUGUUAAUAGCAAAUCUAUUUGAUGGUAUGCGGAGAGGAAGGGACGGCUAACUCUGUGCCAGCAGCCGCGGUAAGACAGAGGUCCCGAGCGUUGUUCGGAUUCAUUGGGCGUAAAGGGUGUGUAGGAGGUCGGGUAAGUCAGGUGUGAAAUCUCAGAGCUUAACUCUGAAACUGCGCUUGAUACCGCUCGGCUAGAGGAUCGGAGGGGGUAACGGAAUUUAUGGUGUAGCAGUGAAAUGCGUAGAUAUCAUAAGGAACACCGGUGGCGAAGGCGGUUACCUGGAAGAUUCCUGACUCUGAAACACGAAAGCCA
rnacentral:rRNA from 1 species